GACGAACGCUGGCGGCGUGCUUAACACAUGCAAGUCGAACGAAGUGGCGAACGGGUGAGUAACGCGUAAUCAACCUGCCCUUCAGAGGGGGACAACAGUUGGAAACGACUGCUAAUACCGCAUACUGAAGGAGGGGUUUGCGUCUGAUUAGCUAGUUGGAGGGGUAACGGCCCACCAAGGCGAAGAUCAGUCGGCGGUCUGAGGAGAGUGACGGCCACAAUGGGACUGGGACAAGGCCCAGACUCCUACGGGAAGCAUCAGUGGGGAAUCUUUCCCAAUGGACGAAAGUCUGACGGAGCAACGCCGCGGGGAUGAAGACGGCCUUCGGGUUGUAAAGCUCUGUUAAUCGGGACGCGGUACCGGAAUAGAAAGCCACGGCUAACUACGUGCCAGCAGCCGCGGUAAUAC
rnacentral:rRNA from 1 species